GAUGAAGAACGUAGCGAAAUGCGAUACGUAAUGUGAAUUGCAGAAUUCAGUGAAUCAUCGAGUCUUUGAACGCACAUUCGCCCCCUGGUAUUCCGGGGGGCAUGCCUGUCCGAGCGUCAUUGCUGCCCUCAAGCACGGCUUGUGUGUUGGGCCUCCGUCCUCCUCCCGGGGGACGGGCCCGAAAGGCAGCGGCGGCACCGCGUCCGGUCCUCGAGCGUAUGGGGCUUCGUCACCCGCUCUUGUAGGCCCGGCCGGCGCUUGCCGACACAUCAAUCUUUUUUCCAGGUUGACCUCGGAUCAGGUAGGGAUACCCGCUGAACUUAAGCAUAUCAAUAAGCGGAGGA
rnacentral:misc_RNA from 1 species